AUUGAACGCUGGCGGCAGGCCUAACACAUGCAAGUCGAACGGUAACAGGAAACAGCUUGCUGUUUCGCUGACGAGUGGCGGACGGGUGAGUAAUGUCUGGGAAACUGCCUGAUGGAGGGGGAUAACUACUGGAAACGGUAGCUAAUACCGCAUAACGUCGCAAGACUAAAGAGGGGGACCUUCGUGCCUCUUGCCAUCGGAUGUGCCCAGAUGGGAUUAGCUAGUAGGUGGGGUAACGGCUCACCUAGGGGACGAUCCCUAGCUGGUCUGAGAGGAUGACCAGCCACACUGGAACUGAGACACGGUCCAGACUCCUACGGGAGGCAGCAGUGGGGAAUAUUGCACAAUGGGCGCAAGCCUGAUGCAGCCAUGCCGCGUGUAUGAAGAAGGCCUUCGGGUUGUAAAGUACUUUCAGCGGGGAGGAAGGGAGUAAAGUUAAUACCUUUACUCAUUGACGUUACCCGCAGAAGAAGCACCGGCUAACUCCGUG
rnacentral:rRNA from 1 species